UACGUAGGUGGCGAGCGUUUGUCCGGAUUUAUUGGGUUUAAAGGGUGCGUAGGCGGUCCUAUAAGUCAGUGGUGAAAUAUCGCAGCUCAACUGUGAGGGUGCCAUUGAUACUGUAGGACUUGAGUGAAUUUGAGGUAGGCGGAAUUGACGGUGUAGCGGUGAAAUGCGUAGAUAUCUGGAGGAACACCGGUGGCGAAGGCGGCAUCCUGGACCGGUAUUGACGCUGAGGCGCGAAAGCCAGGGGGAGCAAACGGG
rnacentral:rRNA from 1 species